UGAGUAACGCGUAGGAAUCUACCCAGUAGCGGGGGAUAAGCCAGAGAAAUUUGGUCUAAUACCGCAUACGCCCUUCGGGGGAAAGCAGGGGAUCUUCGGACCUUGCACUAUUGGAUGAGCCUGCGUGAGAUUAGCUAGUUGGUGAGGUAAUGGCUCACCAAGGCGACGAUCUCUAGCUGGUCUGAGAGGAUGAUCAGCCACACUGGAACUGAGACACGGUCCAGACUCCUACGGGAGGCAGCAGUGGGGAAUAUUGCACAAUGGGCGCAAGCCUGAUGCAGCCAUGCCGCGUGUGUGAAGAAGGCCCUAGGGUUGUAAAGCACUUUCAGCAGUGAGGAAAGGUUAGUAGUUAAUACCUGCUAACUGUGACGUUAACUGCAGAAGAAGCACCGGCUAACUCCGUGCCAGCAGCCGCGGUAAUACGGAGGGUGCGAGCGUUAAUCGGAAUUACUGGGCGCAAAGCGCGCGUAGGUGGAUUGGUCAGUCAGAUGUGAAAGCCCAGGGCUCAACCUUGGAACUGCACCUGAUACUGCCAGUCUAGAAUACGGUA
rnacentral:rRNA from 1 species